ACUUUACUACUUGGAUAACCGUGGUAAUUCUAGAGCUAAUACAUGCUAAAAAUCCCGACUUCGGAAGGGUUGUAUUUAUUAGAUUAAAAACCAAUGCCCCUCGGGGCUCUCUGGUGAAUCAUGAUAACUAGUCGAAUCGACAGGCCUUGUGCCGGCGAUGGCUCAUUCAAAUUUCUUCCCUAUCAACUUUCGAUGUUUGGGUCUUGUCCAAACAUGGUGGCAACGGGUAACGGAGGGUUAGGGCUCGACCCCGGAGAAGGAGCCUGAGAAACGGCUACUACAUCCAAGGAAGGCAGCAGGCGCGCAAAUUACCCAAUCCCGACACGGGGAGGUAGUGACAAUAAAUACUGAUACAGGGCUCUUUUGGGUCUUGUAAUCGGAAUGAGUACAAUUUAAAUCCCUUAACGAGGAACAAUUGGAGGGCAAGUCUGGUGCCAGCAGCCGCGGUAAUUCCAGCUCCAAUAGCGUAUAUUAAAGUUGUUGUGGUUAAAAAGCUCGUAGUUGAACCUUGGGCCUGGCUGGCCGGUCCGCCUCACCGCGUGCACUGGUCCGGCCGGGCCUUUCCCUCUGCGGAACCCCAUGCCCUUCACUGGGUGUGGCGGGGAAACAGGACUUUUACUUUGAAAAAAUUAGAGUGCUCAAGGCAGGCCUAUGCUCGAAUACAUUAGCAUGGAAUAAUAGAAUAGGACGUGUGGUUCUAUUUUGUUGGUUUCUAGGACCGCCGUAAUGAUUAAUAGGGACAGUCGGGGGCAUCAGUAUUCAAUUGUCAGAGGUGAAAUUCUUGGAUUUAUUGAAGACUAACUACUGCGAAAGCAUUUGCCAAGGAUGUUUUCAUUAAUCAGGAACGAAAGUUAGGGGAUCGAAGACGAUCAGAUACCGUCGUAGUCUUAACCAUAAACUAUGCCGACUAGGGAUCGG
rnacentral:rRNA from 1 species